UAUGACGACCACGUCACCCAGAAUGCUCCCGCUCGGAUCUGACCUCAGAAGCUAAGCAUGCAGGGUCGAGCUUGGUUAAUGCUUGGAUGGUAGACCACCAUGAACUAAUAAGAGGUGUAGUUG
rnacentral:rRNA from 1 species